rnacentral:piRNA from 1 species
UGAGAACUCAUUGUACUGGAUUCUAUUGA